rnacentral:rRNA from 1 species
GAUGAACGCUAGCGACAGGCCUAACACAUGCAAGUCGAGGGGCAGCACGAGGAGCAAUCCGAGGUGGCGACCGGCGCACGGGUGCGUAACGCGUAUGCAACCUACCUUGAACUGGGGGAUAGCCUUCCGAAAGGGAGAUUAAUACCGCAUAAGACAACCUGAGGGCAUCUGAGGGUUGUUAAAGAUUUAUUGGUUCAAGGUGGGCAUGCGUGCCAUUAGCUAGUUGGCGGGGGAAGGGCCCAACAAGGCGACGAUGGCUAGGGGGUCUGAGCGGAUGGUCCCCCACACUGGCACUGAGAUACGGGCCAGACGCCUACGGGAGGCAGCAGUAGGGAAUAUUGGGCAAUGGGCGGAAGCCUGACCCAGCCAUGCCGCGUGCAGGAUGAAGGCCUUCUGGGUUGUAAACUGCUUUUAUCAGGGAAGAAAACACCCAUGCGUGGGGAACUGACGGUACCUGAGGAAUAAGCACCGGCUAACUCCGUGCCAGCCGCCGCCGUAACAC